CGAGCACGCGCGUGUGGCAUAUCAAUAAGCGGAGGAAAAGAAACUAACAAGGAUUCCCUUAGUAACGGCGAGUGAAGCGGGAAGAGCUCAAAUUUGAAAUCUUCAAGGUUCUACCUUGACGAAUUGUAGUUUAUAGAAGUGUUUUCUGUUAGUAGAGUGGCAAAAGUUCUUUGGAAUAGGACAUCAUAGAGGGUGAGAAUCCCGUAUUUGGUCAUCCCUCCUAGCUUUGUGAUACACUUUCAACGAGUCGGAUUGUUUGGGAAUGCAGUCCAAAAUGGGUGGUAAAUUUCAUCUAAAGCUAAAUAUUGGCGAGAGACCGAUAGCGAACAAGUACCGUGAGGGAAAGAUGAAAAGAACUUUGAAAAGAGAGUUAAACAGUACGUGAAAUUGUCAAAAGGGAAGCGUUUGACACCAGUGUUGUUUUUCCGAAAAUCAAUUACUGAUGGUUUGAUUUUGAGGUAGUUAGGACUUCAUCAGCUUGCUCCUUUCUUUACGUACUUUCUUGAAUGCACUUUUCGGUUAACAAGUCAACAUCAAUUUCUUUUGUUGUAAAAGGGUAUGAGGAAGGUGGCUUUCAGUUUCGGUAGAAGUGUUUAUAGCCUUGUACCUCUGCAGUCGGAGAGAUUGAGGUCUGCAGCGUAGAUCCUUCGGGGUUAGAUACAUUUGUGCUAAGUUAUAGCUUUUCAUAGACAACUUGUUGACUAUGUUUAGUCUUGUAGCUUACUCGCUGACGCUAUUUUACCUACGCUUAGGAUGUUGAACUCUAUCACACACAG
rnacentral:rRNA from 1 species